GGUGGGAUUCCCGAGUUGGCCAAAGGGGGCAGACUGUAAAUCUGCUAGCACUGCUUUCGCUGGUUCGAAUCCAGCUCCCACCACCA
rnacentral:tRNA from 1 species